rnacentral:rRNA from 1 species
GACAGAGGAGGCAAGCGUUGUUCGGAUUCACUGGGCUUAAAGCGCGAGUAGGCGGCCCGGCAAGUGUCGUGUGAAAUCCCACGGCUCAACCGUGGAACGGCACGGCAAACUGCCGGGCUUGAGGUCGGUAGGGGUGCCUGGAACUCCAGGUGGAGCGGUGAAAUGCGUAGAUAUCUGGAGGAACGCCGGAGGCGAAAGCGGGGCACUGGGCCGAUGCUGACGAUGAGACGCGAAAGCGUGGGGAGCAAACAGG